rnacentral:rRNA from 1 species
CCUACGGGAGGCAGCAGUAGGGAAUAUUGCUCAAUGGGGGAAACCCUGAAGCAGCAAAGCCGCGUGGAGGAUGAAGGUUUUCCGAUUGUAAACUCCUUUUGUUAGAGAAGAUAAUGACGGUACGUAAGGAAUCACCAAGGGUUACCUCCGUCCCAGCAGCCGCGGUCAUACGGCGGGCGCAAGCGUUACUCCGAAUAAUGGGGCGUAAAGGGUGCGUAGGCGGGUGAGCAAGGCAGUUGUUAAAUCCGAUGGCUUAAACAUAGGACUGCAAAUGAAACUGCUUUUCUAGAGUGUAGGAGAGGUAUGUGGAAUUCUUGGUGUAGGGGUAAAAUGCAUAGAGAUCAAGAAGAAUCCUCAUUGCGAAGGCAGCCUGCUGGAACAUAACUGACGCUGAUGCACGAAAGCGUGGGGAGCGAACAGGAUUAGAUACCCGUGUAGUC